rnacentral:lncRNA from 1 species
GAAGGUAAAUCAAAUCAAAUGAAAUCAGUAGGUAAAAUAUUGAGAUUGGAAUUCAGAGUCGGCUAAGUAAGACCAGCUGACUGAGUCAUCGAGUCAAAAAGUCAGUACACUGAUUGGCGGCCGGCGACGGCGCGUGAGUGGCUGCUUCCUUGGUCAUUUUAACGUCAGGCGGUUUUGAAGAUUUUGUGCAUCCGAUCCAACGCAAUCGGGGAUGAUGC